AGAGUUUGAUCAUGGCUCAGAUUGAACGCUGGCGGCAGGCCUAACACAUGCAAGUCGAACGGUAACAGGAAGCAGCUUGCUGCUUCGCUGACGAGUGGCGGACGGGUGAGUAAUGUCUGGGAAACUGCCUGAUGGAGGGGGAUAACUACUGGAAACGGUGGCUAAUACCGCAUAACGUCGCAAGACCAAAGAGGGGGACCUUCGGGCCUCUUGCCAUCAGAUGUGCCCAGAUGGGAUUAGCUUGUUGGUGAGGUAACGGCUCACCAAGGCGACGAUCCCUAGCUGGUCUGAGAGGAUGACCAGCCACACUGGAACUGAGACACGGUCCAGACUCCUACGGGAGGCAGCAGUGGGGAAUAUUGCACAAUGGGCGCAAGCCUGAUGCAGCCAUGCCGCGUGUAUGAAGAAGGCCUUCGGGUUGUAAAGUACUUUCAGCGGGGAGGAAGGUGUUGUGGUUAAUAACCACAGCAAUUGACGUUACCCGCAGAAGAAGCACCGGCUAACUCCGUGCCAGCAGCCGCGGUAAUACGGAGGGUGCAAGCGUUAAUCGGAAUUACUGGGCGUAAAGCGCACGCAGGCGGUCUGUCAAGUCGGAUGUGAAAUCCCCGGGCUCAACCUGGGAACUGCAUUCGAAACUGGCAGGCUUGAGUCUUGUAGAGGGGGGUAGAAUUCCAGGUGUAGCGGUGAAAUGCGUAGAGAUCUGGAGGAAUACCGGUGGCGAAGGCGGCCCCCUGGACAAAGACUGACGCUCAGGUGCGAAAGCGUGGGGAGCAAACAGGAUUAGAUACCCUGGUAGUCCACGCCGUAAACGAUGUCUACUUGGAGGUUGUGCCCUUGAGGCGUGGCUUCCGGAGCUAACGCGUUAAGUAGACCGCCUGGGGAGUACGGCCGCAAGGUUAAAACUCAAAUGAAUUGACGGGGGCCCGCACAAGCGGUGGAGCAUGUGGUUUAAUUCGAUGCAACGCGAAGAACCUUACCUGGUCUUGACAUCCACAGAACUUUCCAGAGAUGGAUUGGUGCCUUCGGGAACUGUGAGACAGGUGCUGCAUGGCUGUCGUCAGCUCGUGUUGUGAAAUGUUGGGUUAAGUCCCGCAACGAGCGCAACCCUUAUCCUUUGUUGCCAGCGGUUAGGCCGGGAACUCAAAGGAGACUGCCAGUGAUAAACUGGAGGAAGGUGGGGAUGACGUCAAGUCAUCAUGGCCCUUACGACCAGGGCUACACACGUGCUACAAUGGCGCAUACAAAGAGAAGCGACCUCGCGAGAGCAAGCGGACCUCAUAAAGUGCGUCGUAGUCCGGAUUGGAGUCUGCAACUCGACUCCAUGAAGUCGGAAUCGCUAGUAAUCGUGGAUCAGAAUGCCACGGUGAAUACGUUCCCGGGCCUUGUACACACCGCCCGUCACACCAUGGGAGUGGGUUGCAAAAGAAGUAGGUAGCUUAACCUUCGGGAGGGCGCUUACCACUUUGUGAUUCAUGACUGGGGUGAAGUCGUAACAAGGUAACCGUAGGGGAACCUGCGGUUGGAUCACCU
rnacentral:rRNA from 2 species